rnacentral:lncRNA from 1 species
AUUGUUUAGUCYGUGUCAUUGUGAGAUGCUACUUCAUUCAUUCUGUACUUUAUUUUAUUGUUCCAUUUUGUAGUCGUAUGUAGGUCUCAAACUCCAGAAUCAAUGGCCAGAAGAUACGUCACUAUUUCUUUCUUGGUAGCUUCCAGCUGGGAUUGAUUGAGUGAUGUAUCUCACCUUCCUCAAGAUCAGCAUGCAUGGUGCAGAAGUCAGAAGACUGCCGUUUCACAAGUUUCCUCCAAUAUGUAAAUUUGUACAUUAUGGGUAUCUCUACCACUCAUCCUGCUCAGAAAGUGUCCUUCAGCAGCUGUGCAAUCCUGCGUCACCAAAGAGGGGAGUAGAUGGGAUUUCAGUGUGAAAUUUGGAAGAGGACAGGAAAGCAGGAUCAAGGAAAAACAGGUAAGCAAAGCUGCACUUAGCAUUUAUCUGCAGACC